GGCCAACAUCGGUUCUGAGGGUCGGUCAAAGGCUCUGGGAAUGUAUCUACCUACGGGUAGACUUAUAGACCAGGGUGUCAUGCGGCCUCUCGGGACCGAGGAACGCGCUUCGGCUCGGAUGUUGGCGUAAUGGUUGUCAGCGA
rnacentral:rRNA from 1 species